GACGAACGCUGGCGGCGUGCUUAACACAUGCAAGUCGAACGAAGUGGCGCACGGGUGAGUAACGCGUAAUCAACCUGCACUUCAGGGGGGGACAACAGUUGGAAACGACUGCUAAUACCGCAUCCUGAAGUAGGGGAUUUCGUCUGAUUAGGUAGUUGGAGGGGUAACGGCCCACCAAGGCGAGGCUCAGUAGCCGGUCUGAGAGGAUGAACGGCCACAUUGGGACUGGGACACGGCCCAGACUCCUACGGGAGGCAGAAGUGGGGAAUCUUCCGAAAUGGAAGAAAGUCUGACGGAGCAACGCCGCGUGAGUGAUGACGGCCUUCGGGUUGUAAAGCUCUUUUAAGCGGGACGCGGUACCGGAAUAGAAAGCCACGGCUAACUACGUGCCAGCAGCCGCGGUAAUAC
rnacentral:rRNA from 1 species